rnacentral:lncRNA from 1 species
UAUGAAUAAAUCUCUACCUGCUUUUUUAUAAGCAGAGAUAAAAACGUGGAGUUUAAUUCCUCUCGCAUCGUGAGGCAUCCUUAGGUAGCAGAUUCUUACCUAAGAAUCUGAGAAGCUCAGGGAUGUCUGUGGAGGAUGUCUAUGCAUCCUAGCAGAAAAUAAGUGAGGGAGAGUGUUUGGGAAAGGGCAUGGGCAGAGUUCAGGAAAAACUUUGGCAGGAGUUUGGUGUUAAUCCCUAGAUAAGAAGCAGCAACACCUGUGAAAAUUGUCUUCCAUCUAUAAAACAAAAUUAGUCUGUACAAUAACCCUAUGCAACACCCAAUUUCUCAAAGUAGGUUUGUGAGAAGUCUUGGUGAGAUACACAUACGUGUCCUGUUGACAACAUUGUGCCAUGAAAGAAAAAGUAGAUUUUUUAAAAUGUGCCUGAUAGCAUAUAAUGAUAUCAGAAAUUUUCUGGGUAGAAUUAUAGGAGUAUAACAGCUGUAGGUUUGAGCCCUGUAAUUACACUGGGAAAUUCUCUUCUAACUCUCCCAUCUUUAAUUUCACUGAAAAGGCAGGUGGCUAUUUAUAGAUGGCAUAUUUUUAUAUAUGCAUAUGUGGACAGUGAAUAACAGUCUACAAGGUUCCAGGAAAUCCUAGAAGAGACUAAAACACUCCAUUGUAGACUACAACAUUCCAUAGAUAUGUUCAAUUUUUCUCAUUUCACUCUCGGUGAUAUUAAGGUGAUUUCAUAAACAUUGGUUCUUCAACUCUUACUUUCCAAUUUGUGACAUUUCCUAACUCUGACUCCAAAUUGCUCACAUUUCAUACAAAAUUGAACUAGAUAAGAGGGUACCAUUAAAAUAUCAGGUCUUUGGUAAACACAUAUUGUGACCCUUACUCUCUGGCUAAAGAAAAAAAGUUCUAAUUAGAAUUUUCUCAGUAGCACAGUGGUAGAAAAACAGAAGUUUGACCAAGACAAUAGUUUGUAUAAGUGAUCUAGUUCAAGAAGUACUGAUCAAGCAGCCACUACAGAAGAGGUAUUAAAACAGGGACUGGAGGGGUUACAGAUAAAAGUAAGACAGACAUACACACCCACCCCUGAAGUAACCGGCAACAGAGUUUAGGGUAAGCACAUCUCCAUGGAGGAACAAGCAGCUAAUUAUCUUUCCAGACAGAACUUGGCAGGUGUCGUCACAGAAGCCCAAAUGCUAUUUGGAAUAAUAUUACUUGACAUUUGGUGGCAUUUACUUGUCUAAAAGCUGCUUUCACAUCCAUUAUUUGGCUUUAUCCUGCAAUUAUUGUAUCGAUCUUGUAACAUGGAAUACUUCCUAUUUUAAAAAUGAAGACGCUGAGAGUCUUGACGAAAUGACACAGGAAAAGGAAGGAAUCGUCUCAUGUCCUCAGAUUCCAAGCUUAGCACACUUUCUAUAACAUGCCACAGAGCCUCUCUCUAAAAGUACGGGGAGGUUCAGACAUGGAAGUGACCCAGUUGCAAGCUAGAUAUCCAAUAAGAAUGCAUUUCCCAAAAAUCCAGAUUAUGCGAUUCUCCAUAAUUUUUGUUUUGUUUUGCUUUGUUUUGUUUUUUUAGGGCCACGCCUGCAGCAUACAGAAUUUCCCAGGCUACAAGUCAAGUGGAGCUGCAGCUGCCACCCAUGGCCAAAGCCAAAGCCCCAGCAAUCUGGGAUCCGAGCUGCGUCCGUGACCUACAUCAAAGGCCAUAGCAUCUCAGGAUCCUUAACCCACUGAGUGAGACCAGGGAUGGAACUCACAUCCUCAUGGGUACUAGUUGGACUCGUUUACCGCUGUGCCACAACAGGAAUUCCCUGAUUCUCCAUAAUUUUCAUCCUCUUAGAUCAGUUCCUCCAUCUCCGUGAGCUUUGCUUUCCUCAACUGAAUAAGGUGACAUUUGAGACCAAGGCCUUCCUCCAGCAUCCUGUGAUGCCAAGGGGCCAGGAUGAAGUACGAACUGGCUCGUCUAUUUGUGGACCAUCCAUGGCUAUUUUGAAAUCCCUGAAUGGUCGUUUUUCCUUCCUGUAGGCCAGUGUGGCCAACCUCUCAGCCAACCAAGCCAGCGUGUACUCAGUGAAGGAAAACGAACUUUACGUUGCCCUUUACAAGCCCAAUUCGACAAGUAAAAUCAUUACUAUAUUGUUGUACGCUGAAGUCAAAAUACUAGUUCGCGGAGGCUGUCUGGUCUCUUGAACUGGCUGCUGUGCCACUCCUCACCCCUCUUCACAAGCAAUGGCUUUCUGCCACUGAGAGUCUGCCUUCCCAAUACCAAAGAGGUUGAUUGCAUCAGAUCUUCCUGGUUUCUCUCAAAGACCAACCACAUCCAUAUCACAGCCAGGUUGGCUGCAGUCUCCUUAUCUUGGAAUCCCAUUGCUGGGUAUUUCAGAGCCAAGUCAACAUUUUAUGUGGCUGAAAUAAUAGGACAAAGGUUUUUGAUUCUGAACAGUUCUACCAGCCAAAAACGUCAAUGCUUCUCUAGGUCAUUGUCCCUAAAGCCUCUUUCAGGAAACUUCAGACUAACUAAACAAUAUUGAAGCUACAGUGAAGGAUUCCAGUGUGGCUGGGGGUCUACUUCACUUCGGAAGGAACUUCUAUGGAGCUCAAGCCCAUCCCUUUUGCUGUCCAGAUUCCUUUAAAAUGCUUUACGCCUGCAAAUCUCUUUAUGUGGCAUCAGUUCAGCUUGCAGUAAAAGAAGCAGCCUCUGAGAGAUGGGCCUACCGGGAGCAAGAAAGGGCAUUAAGAAGGCAGAAACAAAGGGAGGAAGCAUAAGGAGAUAAAGUGCCACAUGGUCCAUGAAUGAAAACAAGCUCCUCGAUUGAUUUAAGACAACCACCUAAUACUACUCAUCCUUAAAAUGUAAUCCCCAGACUUCAGCGUGGCCUUGCAGAUUCCGGAGGACAGUUUAUCCAAAGGGAAGAGCAUCUUGGGGAGGGUAUGGUAGGACAGUGACCAGGAAAUGUAGUAACCAACAAUGAAAGCGUGUGCAGCAUAACCUAGCACCAGCUCUAUUUUUUUCAUUCCCAAAGGAAAACAAAUGGUGUGUAGCAUUUAGUUCCAGCUUCCAAAUCUGGGAUGGCUGGAAGGAGAAAUGGGUGGCAGCUGGUCCCAGUGUUGCUUCAUGCAGCAGACAUAGAGAACUAGACCUUGAAUUAGCACCAACAAAUUGUUUCUUGAGGACCUAGGAUGGGGACACUAGAGAGGCUAAAAGCAGCUUGUUCAGUGUCAUGAGCAAUCAGAGGCCAGGCCAUCAUAAAGGGCACACUCAGGACUCCCAAAGACUCUGAACCUGGCCAUCUUUCCCCAGAGCAGUGUGUUUCAAGACGUGAUGUUGCCAGAAGGAGAGGGACCUGGCGGGGACAGGGGAGUGAUGUGUGAUUUGGACUAGCUUUGGGAGAGGGAGCAUGAUUGUACAAACACGUUGCCAAAGGCAGUGGAGACUGGCUCUUUGUACUUUGCUGAUACGAUAUUAUCUUUGUAGUUGCUAAUAGGUAUUGAAUAUUGACCACAUGCCAAGCCCUGGGUACAACACAGGAUAGUAGCUAAUCCACACAAAGCCCAACCACAGUAUUUGACAUCUAACAAAUGAUCAAUAAAUGUCAGCAUUACUAGUAUUAAUAUAUAAUUAUCUCAGUUAUUCUUCACAGCAACCCGAGGAGGUCGUUAUUAUCACUCCCCACUUUCCACGUGAGGAAAUUCAGGCUCUGAAAGGUGAGCUACGGAGCAGCAAAACUGGCUAGUCACCCACCUACAAAUAUUUACAGAGAUCUCAAUGUCUUCGAUUCUCUGUUAUUCUUUUAAAUUUAAUCCAGGAUUGAAGUGAGGAUCGGUGAGGAAAAUAACUUACAUCAAGACAGAAUGGAAUCCAGGAGGGCAUUUUCAGCACUAGUCCCAGGAAGUUUUUGUUUGCUUUGGUUUUUUAGUGAGAAGCAGAAGACUCGUAAGUGCUGUUUAAAUUCUGAGGACUGGAUGCUCCCCCUUCUCGCAUGAGUUUCCACACUGGAGAUCAAGGACCUGGCAGCGAGAGUGAGCCUGUGCACUUGCUUCCCAGACACCGAUGGUUGGAACCCCUCAGAGGGCUGGUCGGAGUCCCUCCAGAGGUUUCCUCCAUGGCUAGGGCUACCUUUCCUGCCCAUUCCUCCCUGAGCACUGGGCCAGGGGGUUAGAGGGGAAACUCUUGCUCCUGGCUAACCAGGAGUCGGGGUGGGGGCGGGGGUGCAUGAGACAAACAAGCCCUCCCAUGGCGCAAGGCCCCUUCCUAAAGCCCUGUCGAGAGAAUCACUGGAACCUUCAGAGUCCUGUGAUCACAUAUAUCAAUGUCUCCGUGAUGGACUGAUACCAUGAGCGCGUACUCUGUGCAGGUUCUGUGUUAAGCACCUACAUUCAUUCAUUUCCUCCACACGACAGCAUGAUGACUCUUAUUCAUUAUGGAAGUUAUUCUCAUUCAUUCUGUAGGCUCUCCGUAUGGAAUUCUGGAACCUGACUGAGCAUUGGAGUUGGACGCAAGCUCAGGAGAGCGCUUGUGUAAGCAUCCUACCCUGAAUACCCUCGUAUUGUCCCUGGUUUACAGAAGGGGCAACUGAGGCACAGCGAAUUUAUCUGGGCCUUAAGGAUGUAGAAUGAGGACUAUUUUCAGUCAAUCUCCCCCCCCCACCCCCAAAUGUUCUUUUAACAAAAGGAAAUGAUUUGGGGUAAAGAGUAAAAACAAUUCCAGUGACUGUAGUUAAGUUCCCCUUCCCUCCCAUCGCUGGCCCCAGAAAGUGUGAAUUCUGAGGCAACACUCUUUUUAUUGUUGUUGUUCCUUAAUAUAAAAAAAAAAAAGAACACACAUGAAAUAACUUCAAGAGUUGCAGCAACAGCAACAACAAACCCAGUGCAUUUGCAGAGAAAGCAGUGGAAAAGAAAUGCCUCCCUCCCAAUGCUGAAUGUCAGGGUGGACCCACUACACUCCCACCAACCCCCUACCCCACCAACCUACCUUCCACCUCCUCCCGCCCCCUGCCACAUUUCUGUAGGCUUACGGCAUUUGCCAGCAAGAUAAUUGGAUUUCCAACCAGGAGAAGGGGCCAGGCAUAGGGACUUCAUAGCAGAAACUGGUAAAUAAGAAACUCAAAAGCUUUUGCCCAGUUCCAUUGCCUACGAAUCUGCUACUUAAAGCCCGUCAGUCAGAUGUAAGGGGGAUCUAGAGCCCAUUCUUUAGUUUAGGGGUCUAGGUGCGCUUUACGCUGCUUAGAAAUUAUAGAGUCUCACAGAAAAUCAAGCCAUGCAUAAAAGAAAUGAAAGAUUGGUGGUAGUGGUGGUGGUGGGGUGUGUGUGUGUGUGUGGCAGACUAUUGUAAAUAAAAGGAAACUGGCAUGUGAGGUAGUUCAAACUGAACUUUGAUGCUCUAACAGGAGGCAGACUUGAGGAAAAAUCUAAAUAUUAAAGUCAGAGCUUUUAAACUUAAUCUGUUAUUAACAGACUGUAUCUUACACAUAUCCCGCCCCCGCUUGUCUUUUCAUCUUUCUCAAUCCUUCAUGAUUAACACUGAAAUACCAUAAUUAUAGCUGCAUUUCUCAUUGUUAACUUCUGGGUCUCAUUCCACGAGGGUUGAAACGGAUGUCAAAUGGAUGGCAUUUGACACCCUCGCAAAAAGACAUGUACCAGCCUGGAAGGAGACUUUUUAAUUUUUAGUAAAGAAUUUAUUCUAAGGAUGAUUUGUUGCCAUUUUCAUCACCAUUGGCACUUAGCAUUUCCAAGGCAUUAAAUGACUAAAUAGCACGCUUUCUUUAGGAAAAAGUCAAUACCGUAUUAAUUUGUCCUCAGUAUUUCCGGCAUACAUUUGCCAGUGCUUCUUACAGAUUUCUUAAAAAGCCAAAAGGCUUGAUAAAGUCCGAAGAGCCCCAGAAAAUGAGAACAAAUGUUCAGACCAAAUCAUCCUCUCAAGACACAAAGAUAUUUUAUUUUACUGCUAGCACAAGUGGCUGACAAAAAGGAAAGCUAAAAAUUAACCUUUCAAGGUUUCCAUUUGUGGGUCACUUAGGAGAACUCCUUCCUCCAAAGUGGAUUCAUAUUUCAAGUAAGGUGGGAAUUGAUCUCACUAUAAGAGUUAAGGGAAACAGCAAGAAAAUUCAGCUAGUUCACCUCUGAUGAGAGGAAUGUGGCAUACAAUUGCUCCAUUCACCGAGCGGUUUGGGGUCUACAGGUUGUACAAAAUGUUUACUCCAGAUAACUAAGUCGCCUUUCAGGGCACACCCCCACUAUUAUGCAUUUAUAACUGCUCUGUGCUCGUCUCUCAGCACUGCCCAAAUCGGUCUCAUGAGUCAAAGUGGCAGCUGAAAAAAAAUCUAAAUUCAAUCUCUGCUGUCCAAUCAGAAUCCACCUAAACUGCUUUUUCUUCUUUUUCAAUCACAAAACACCAUUUUCUGCUAGUCAGAACACCAAGUUUGGACUCUGCUUACGAACAGAAAUACUCAGUGGGUUCACCUCCAAGACAGGUAUGGCCUGAGUAGGGUAAUCAGUACAGUGUCUCUUAGUCCUGGCUAUUUGAUUUAAAAAAAUGAAAGAGCUGAACCCAGGGUAAGUCUUCUUCGUAGGACCAGCCUUCAAGAAAAAGUAGAGUGGAGUUAGCCUCAUUUUCCCCAGGGACACUUCUUUUAACCUAGAGAUCUUUCUUACCUGUCACUCUGAACCAAGAAAAAGGAAACACAACGAUGGAAUGAGUUU